CUUUGCGUCUGUGAUUUCAUUGGCUUGCUGAUGACCUUACCCUAAAGAUAUGGAGUGCUGACAUAGCAAGGUUGCAGUGUGGUGAUGUAAAUGCACCUUGGUGAGUGCGAUGCUAAUACUGAUUUUCGUGAGUGGUGAUAUGGCCCUGCUCCUAGAAGUGCAUUUUUUUUUCCGAGUUACAAUCUAAGAUCAAUAUCCUCCUCUUUGCAUCCAUGCUGGUUAUAAUUGCAAAGGCCUUGUUUGCUCACGUGAGUGAAGGGAGAAGACGGAAAUGGGUUUUCCCUACACUAAUGCAAUUCCAAAAGUUUGAGGUAUUGUUCAAAGUGCCAUAAAGUAUUAUUU